AACAAGGCGUACCUGCGGACCUGCGGAAGGAUCAUUACAAGUGACCCCGGUCUAACCACCGGGAUGUUCAUAACCCUUUGUUGUCCGACUCUGUUGCCUCCGGGGCGACCCUGCCUUCGGGCGGGGGCUCCGGGUGGACACUUCAAACUCUUGCGUAACUUUGCAGUCUGAGUAAACUUAAUUAAUAAAUUAAAACUUUCAACAACGGAUCU
rnacentral:misc_RNA from 1 species